GAUGAACGCUGGCGGCGUGCCUAAUACAUGCAAGUCGAGCGAACAGACGAGGAGCUUGCUCCUUCGACGUUAGCGGCGGACGGGUGAGUAACACGUAGGUAACCUACCUAUAAGACUGGGAUAACUUCGGGAAACCGGAGCUAAUACCGGAUAAUAUUUCGAACCGCAUGGUUCGAUAGUGAAAGAUGGCUUUGCUAUCACUUAUAGAUGGACCUGCGCCGUAUUAGCUAGUUGGUAAGGUAACGGCUUACCAAGGCAACGAUACGUAGCCGACCUGAGAGGGGGAUCGGCCACACUGGAACUGAGACACGGUCCAGACUCCGACGGGAGGCAGCAGUAGGGAAUCUUCCGCAAUGGGCGAAAGCCUGACGGAGCAACGCCGCGGGAGUGAUGAAGGUCUGCGGAUCGUAAAACUCUGUUAUUAGGGAAGAACAAACGUGUAAGUAACUGUGCACGUCUUGACGGUACCUAAUCAGAAAGCCACGGCUAACUACGU
rnacentral:rRNA from 1 species